rnacentral:lncRNA from 1 species
ACGACACUUUGUUACACCCCGACAAGGCAUUUUUUGUUGGACGAACCAUUGAAUCCUGCUACCUUUCCCAAACGGUAACCGCCCAGACCAACCAAUGCUACAGCGCCAUGCUCGAAUUAGUGUAUCCGCAAUGACAAACUUAUACCACAGCAUUAAACAUCGCUCCUCCUCCACAGUUAAGCAAAACGAGCCUCCUGUAACGACUGCAACAACAGUCAUCCACUCACCGACGAUUUCACUAGAGGACAGCACAGAAUAAGAAGCAUAUGAGCCGAUGCAAACCAUCUCCCCUUGCAAAACCUUUGAUGCGCAAGUCUUGGACGAAAAAUGUCGCAAUGCGACUUCUACACCGAGAAUCUUCUCUGUUUCAGGACGUGGCCAUCCGCAUUCUAAGAAGAGUUUCAUCUUUAUACAAAAGACGAUACUUUUCACAAAAGAAAUAUGAAACUGUGCACGCGCGACAAGUGUGCAAUCCUAGAGAGCAAUCCCAGAGACGUCCCCAACGUCCCUAAGCGAGGGAUUAUCAUAGAUCACCUCCUGGUCAAAUAUACAUGCGUAUCAAGGCCAGCCAGGAACGCAUCAGCUGCUGCGUCCUCCUGUCGUCAUCGACGAGCCAAAGCGGUUAACGCAACUAUAUGUCAAGCAAAAAAAGCAGGGCACAAUUACGAUAAACCUAGAUUCUGGCCAAAAACUGCAAGGUAUGUAUUUUGUAUUUGCUCACCCGAAAGCCCGCUUCACAUGAAAUGUCCCACGUUCCGGAGCCCUGGGCUAAACUGACGCUACGGAAGCGAUCAUUUCCCCGAUAUUCUUCAGCAACCGACGUUUUGUAAAGCGCAGCUUCACCGGAAGCGAAAAAGUAUCCUCCCUUUCCACAGGGAAGACGGAAAAGAAAAAGAUAACUAUAUAUUAUCACAGUGCACACGUCGCAAAAGGACGCGCAGGCGAGCUUCAUGUUUAAGUUGCCAUAAUAUACAUCAAGAUACAACGCGAGGGCGCACGAGAACCAAUCCGCGAACAGGGAAUUGACGACGGCCAAGCCUCUACAUCAUCGCAAGCCGCAGCUUCCUCGCGUCGAUGUUAGUAACUUACAUCACCAGGCCCAAGCUGAUCCCAACGACGCACUCGACGUCGUGUCUUUCUCGCCUCGGACCAGCAGCACCGAGGGCAACAGGCACUCACCCAAAAAGGGAGCGCCCUCGCAAAGGCCGCCGGAUGUCAACAUAUCGACGUGUAGAAGCAAACGCUGCCUCUCCGCCUCGGCCCCUCUUUUACUAACGCGCCUCCCUCAUGGCCUUCCGGUGCCGUCGCUAUCAACCCUCCGCCCGCGCAGUCGCGCCGUCAAAAAGCUGCUGCUGCUGCUGCUAUCGUCGCCGCCGUUGUUAUAGCGCCC